GGGACAGGCUACCCACUCCAGUAUUCUUGGGCUUCCCUUGUGGCUCUGCUGGUAAAGAAUCAGCCUGCAAUGCGGAAGACCUGGGUUCAAUCCCGGGGUUAGGAAGAUCCCCUGGAGAAGGGAAAGGUUACCCACUCCAGUAUUGUGGCCUCGAGAAUUCAAAAGCAGGGGACUGAGCAUGCCCCCUGCACUCAAUACCACCAAAGCAGUGGGCAAAACACUGAAGCCACCCCACACCUCCAGCCUGACCCCUGGACACACCCCUAUCCUCACCCCAUAUAAGGAACAGGAUCACCCCACCCCCAGUGAGCAAGCAAGCAAGGAAUCUGUUGUUUGUUCUCACUCACCCCUGCUGCAGCAGGAUCCCCAGUAAAGCAUUGCCUGGGUGGGGGGAAGUGCUUUUAGGUAUGAGGAUUGGAGAGAGGAGUGACUCAUUUUAAUGUGAUUACCAGUUUGAGGGAGGCAGCCCUUCUGAUACCUGUGUGCUCAGAGACUGGGACCAAAUCUCUGCCACAGCUCUUCUCAGAGAAGUGUCACUGUGGCCCCACCACUCUGGGCAACGGCCUAGACAUCUCUUUUCUGUUGGCCACUGGAAGAAUCUCAUCACAAGUCUCAAGAACAAAACAAAUCAAAAAGAGUCUCUGCACUGAAGCUCCUGAAACCUGAACCCUGUCAAGUGCAGCCACAACUCUGUGGACACUCAGGAUCUGCCCGCUGCGGGGCCCUGUGAUGACCAUCUGCUCGGCAGGCAGGAGGGUGACACCGAGGACCUGGAGGCACCAUCGACCUAGGUCCUCAGAAGGGUUCGGGGGGCUCUCUCGCCUCACCGGCCCCUGACGUGCACACCCACACACACAAGCAUCACACACAGCAACUGUGGGCAAGCUCCCUGUGGAAACAGCAACAUCCGAACCUGGGGCCAUGACAAGGCCUCCCAGAGGAGGAAAAGCUCUCCCCACCCAUCCGCCUUGUCUCAGUGCUCACAGUGAGGACUCGGAGUGUCCGAAGAUUCCUGAAUACUGUUCUUGACAGACACCAAAGCGCUCUCCUCCUCCUCCAAACGUGGAGCUCUGGGGCUACCCCCAGGGAAGACGCCUCUGGCAGCGCCCAGCCCUCCGAGCCACUGGGGCCAGCUCCAGGAACACUGAAUUCUGGCCACACUUGCAGCCAGGCCUGGUUACUUUAGAUUCCCUCUCCUCCCCACUUGUCUUUUCAAGCUGGAGCCAGCCAAGGUACAGCCAUAAAAGGAGUGAAGCUUCAUUUGCCCUCUCACUGGGUUUCACCUAAAAGGGCUUUCAGAAAAAUUUCCAGCCUUCUCCUGCGGGACAUUGGAUGCGGUCUCGUUGGCCAAAGAGAAAACGAGUAACAGAUGAAGCUCAUACGGAUGAAGAGGCCAAAACCGAAAUGUUAAUCACCUCAAAAUAUGCGCUGCUCCCUCCAAAACCGCUCUUGGCUCGCCUCAGAGGAUCUCUGAUUGGAGACUUUUCCCCCAGGGGUGGGGGGGUCUGCUGCUGAUAUUCGGGGUUACAUUUGAGGGUCCAAGCUGCAAGAAGAUAAAGAAUUGUCAUUCAGGGCACUUAACGGCCCAUUGUGGUGAUUUGAAAUGGCUGGAGUACUGACCAGCCCCUCUUGGUUAAAAGAAUCCCACUAGGACACUCCCAUAAAAGCUCAAGAUGCUGUCAUCCAAGAUGAAUAAAAAUGCCUCUUUUGAUUCCACUGCAUAUGAAAACAUGAGAUCAUUGGAAUAUAUUUA
ensembl:lncRNA